AACCAUCCGGUCUCGGGACCGUUCCUUGGUGACUCUGAAUAACUGAGCAAAUCGCACGGUCUCGCACCGGCGAUGUAUCUUUCAAGUGUCUGCCUUAUCAACUUUCGAUGGUAGUUUAUGUGCCUACCAUGGUUGUAACGGGUAACGGAGAAUCAGGGUUUGACUCCGGAGAGGGAGCCUGAGAAACGGCUACCACUUCUAAGGAAGGCAGCAGGCGCGCAAAUUACCCAUUCUCGGUACGAGGAGGUAGUGACGACCAAUACCAAGCCGGGGCUCUUAUGAGUUUCGGCAUUGGAAUGAGAACAAUCCAAAUCUUUUAACGAGGAACUAGUGGAGGGCAAGUCUGGUGCCAGCAGCCGCGGUAAUUCCAGCUCCGCAAAAGUAUAUCGAUAUUGCUGUGGUUAAAAAGCUCGUAGUUGGAUCUGCGUGCCUAGCACCCGGUGCGGCCUUUGGCCGUUACUGGGCUGCGGCACAUGACUGCCGGAUGGCCGUGGAUGCUCUUAACCGGGUGUCCUCGGUGUCUGGCGAGUUUACUUUGAACAAACUAGAGUGCUCAACACAGGCGUUUCGCUUGAAUAUUUCUGCAUGGAAUAAUAGAAUAGGACCUCGGUUCUAUUUUGUUGGUUUUCGGAAUUGAGGUAAUGAUUAAGAGGGACUGACGGGGGCAUUCGUACUGCGACGUGAGAGGUGAAAUUCUUGGAUCGUCGCAAGACGCACUACUGCGAAGGCAUUUGCCAAGAAUGUUUUCAUUAAUCAAGAACGAAAGUAACGGGUUCAAAGACGAUCAGAUACCGUC
rnacentral:rRNA from 1 species